rnacentral:rRNA from 1 species
GAUGAACGCUGGCGGUGUGCCUAAUACAUGCAAGUCGAGCGAAUGGAUUAAGAGCUUGCUCUUAUGAAGUUAGCGGCGGACGGGUGAGUAACACGUGGGUAACCUGCCCAUAAGACUGGGAUAACUCCGGGAAACCGGGGCUAAUACCGGAUAACAUUUUGAACCGCAUGGUUCGAAAUUGAAAGGCGGCUUCGGCCGUCACUUAUGGAUGGACCCGCGUCGCAUUAGCUAGUUGGUGAGGUAACGGCUCACCAAGGCAACGAUGCGUAGCCGACCUGAGAGGGUGAUCGGCCACACUGGGACUGAGACACGGCCCAGACUCCUACGGGAGGCAGCAGUAGGGAAUCUUCCGCAAUGGACGAAAGUCCGACGGAGCAACGCCGCGUGAGUGAUGAAGGCUUUCGGGUCGUAAAACUCUGUUGUUAGGGAAGAACAAGUGCUAGUUGAAUAAGCUGGCACCUUGACGGUACCUAACCAGAAAGCCACGGCUAACUACGUGCCAGCCGCCGCCGUAA